GUCUACGGCCACGUCACCAUGAAUACGCCCGAUCCCGUCUGAUCUCAGAAGCUAAGCAGGGUCGGGCAUGGUUAGUACUUGGAUUGGAGACCACCUAGGAAGACCAAGUGCUGUAGGCG
rnacentral:rRNA from 1 species